GAAGAACUAACAAGGAUUCCCCUAGUAGCGGCGAGCGAACCGGGAGAAGCCCAGCUUGAGAAUCGCGCCGUCUUUKKUCGGCGGCCCAAUUGGUAUUCUGGAAAAUUGUCCUCUGCAYCGGACCUGGCCUAAGUCCCCUGGAAAGGGGGCUUCGGAAAGGGUGAAACCCCCCUCGGGCCGGGACCUUGCUGCUCCCCAAGGCCACUGUCACCAAUUCGGGCUGUUUGGGAUUGCACCCCUAAUUGGGAGGUAAUUUCCUCCCAAGGCUAAUUUUCGGCGGGAGACCGAUAGCAACCAAUUACCGCAAGGGAAGAAUGAAAAGGACUUUGAAAAAAAAGUUAAAAAGUGCUUGAAAUUGCUGGGAGGGAAGCGAAUGGAGGCCUCGUGUGCGCCCCGGUCGGAUGCGGAACGGCGUUCAGCUGGUCCGCCGCUCGACGCGGGGCGCUGGUCGGCGUGGGCUUCCCCGACGGGAUAAAAGUCGGCCUUCAGUGGCCGGCCGAUGCCGUCGGGGAGGCCGAGGAAUCGAAGUGCGCGCUCUCCUAUAGAGGGCGGGCCCCCUCGGGGGCACCUGCGUACUCGGGACGCCGGCGUGGUGGGCUUUUCAUCCGACCCGUCUUGAAACACGGACCAAGGAGUCUAACAUGCAUGCGAGCCGGUGGGCGGCAAACCCACGUGGAGGCGCAAAUAACUUGAGUUUUUGGGUGUGAUCCCCUUUGUGCGGGGUGCAACAUCGACCGACCAUGAUCUUCUGUGAAAGGUUCGAGUAAGAGCAUGCCUGUUGGGACCCGAAAGAUGGUGAACUAUGCCUGAGCAGGGCGAAGCCAGAGGAAACUCUGGUGGAGGCUCGUAGCGAUACUGACGUGCAAAUCGUUCGUCAGACUCGGGUAUAGGGGCGAAAGACUAAUCGAACCAUCUAGUAGCUGGUUCCCUCCGAAGUUUCCCUCAGGAUAGCUGGAGCACGAGGAGUUUCAUCAGGUAAAGCGAAUGAUUAGAGGCAUCGGGGGUGAAACACCCUCGACCUAUUCUCAAACUUUAAAUAGGUGAGAUCCGAUAUCGGGGUUGCUUGAUUGAACCCCCGGCGGAGAAUCCGACGUC
rnacentral:rRNA from 1 species